UACAGAGGGGGCAAGCGUUGUUCGGAAUUACUGGGCGUAAAGGGCUCGUAGGCGGCCAACUAAGUCGGAUGUGAAAUCCCCAAGCUUAACUUGGGAACUGCAUCCGAUACUGGAUGGCUUGAAUCCGGGAGGGGGAUGCAGAAUUCCAGGUGUAGCGGUGAAAUGCGUAGAUAUCUGGAGGAAUACCGGUGGCGAAGGCGGCAUCCUGGACCGGCAUUGACGCUGAGGAGCGAAAGCUAGGGGAGCAAACGGG
rnacentral:rRNA from 1 species